GUCCUAUUGUAUUAUUUAAUAGGUCUGGCCUGCCCAGUAGAUAAAUUUCAACGGCCGCGGUAUAUUGACCGUGCAAAGGUAGCAUAAUCAUUAGUCUUUUAAUAGGAGGCUGGAAUGAAAGGUUUAACGAGAAAUUAACUGUCUCAAUUGCAAUCUUGAAUUUAUCUUUUGAGUCAAAAGACUUAAAUUUAAUUGGUGGACGAGAAGACCCUAUAGAGCUUGACAAUUAUUUUUUUUCUAUUUACUUAGUCAAAUUAUUUAUUUAUAUUAAAAAUAUUGUUUUGUUGGGGUGACAAUAAAUAUAUAUUUAACUUUUAUCAUAGUGUUAACAUUAAUAUAUGAUUUUUGGAUCCAAAAAUUUUGAUCAUUAAAUUAAGUUACC
rnacentral:rRNA from 1 species